rnacentral:rRNA from 1 species
GAUGAACGCUGGCGGCGUGCCUAACACAUGCAAGUCGAACGGAGUUGUCACCAUGAAGUUUUCGGAUGGAAUGGAGGCAACUUAGUGGCGGACGGGUGAGUAACGCGUGGGUAACCUGCCUCAUACUGGGGGAUAACAGCUGGAAACGGCUGCUAAAACCGCAUAAGAUCGCAUCACCGCAUGGUGAGGCGGUUAAAUAUCGAAAGAUAGGUAUGAGAUGGGCCCGCGUCUGAUUAGCUAGUUGGUGAGAUAAGAGCCCACCAAGGCGACGAUCAGUAGCCGGCUUGAGAGAGUGACCGGCCACAUUGGGACUGAGACACGGCCCAAACUCCUACGGGAGGCAGCAGUGGGGAAUAUUGCACAAUGGGGGAAACCCUGAUGCAGCGACGCCGCGUGAGUGAAGAAGUGCUUCGGCAUGUAAAGCUCUAUCAGCAGGGAAGAAGAUGACGGUACCUGACUAAGAAGCCCCGGCUAACCU